AUGAAGCUGGGGUGUUCUCGGUUUCUUCUUUCUUGCCAUGUUCUUCUCUGCCUUUCUGCGAUUUGGGUGCUGGCCACGGCCGAUGUACCGGCAGCCCACUGUCCCGGCUGCCAGGCCAAGUGCGGCGAAGUCGACAUCCCGUUCCCGUUCGGCAUCGGCAAGCAGUGCGCGUUCCACAACGGCUUUAACCUCAACUGCACGAGCAUCAACGGCGCCAUAAAACCUUUUAGCGGGAAUUUUGAGGUGACCAAGAUCUCCGUGCCAGACGGCAAGGCCUGGAUGAACACCACGACGAUCUCGUGGCAGUGCUAUUCCGAAUCCACUGGCGGUAUGACCUACUACAACGGAGUGGCGGACUUCACCCGCACACCUUUCUGGAUAUCGGAAGUGGACAACAAGAUCUUUGUCAUCGGGUGUAAUACUCUCGCUUAUAUGAUGGGUUCUUCUUAUUUAAUAGGUUGCAAGUCAACGUGCGACGACACCUUGAUGGAUGGCACAUGCUCCGGCGCCGGCUGCUGCCAAGUUGAUGUCCCGACAGGCGUACGGUUUUAUAAUGGUAAUUUCGACCAAAGCUACAACACCACGGAAAUAUGGCAUUACAGCCGUUGCAGCUACAUGGUAUUGAUGGAAAAGGAGGCUUUCAACUUCCGCACUAGCUAUGUCGAAUCCACGGUGUUUUAUGAUGUAUACAAUGGGACAGUUCCACUCGUGCUGAACUGGCGGGCAGGACCGCUGAGUUGCGACGAAGCUCAGAAGAACAUGAGCUCCUAUGCAUGCGUCAGCGACCACAGCGCGUGUGUAAACACCACCGGCGACAAGCCAGGUUACCGCUGCAGGUGCUCCGAUGGAUACGAAGGCAACCCUUAUAUCCAGAACGGAUGCCAAGAUAUUGACGAGUGCCUUCAAAAUGCUACUAUCUGCGGCUCUGGAAUGUGUGAGAACACGGCAGGGCAUUACACCUGCUCAUGUCGACGUGGAAAAAAUUGGACUAAUGGCAAUUGUACAACUGUUGGACUAGUCGCCUUAGUGACUGCUUUAGCAUCUGCAUGCAUGAUCCAAGAGAGAAGAAAGCUACAGAAGAUGAAACGAGACUACUUUCGGCAGCAUGGUGGUCUGAUAUUAUUUGAUGAGAUGAGGUCAAAGCAAGGUAUUUCAUUCAAAAUUUUCACGGAAGAAGAACUACAGGAAGCCACGAACAGGUUUAGUGAGCAACAAGUACUGGGUCAAGGGGGCUAUGGGACUGUGUACAAGGGGAUUCUUGAGGGCAACGUGGAAGUAGCGGUGAAGAGAUGCAAGACCGCCGACGAGCAACAAAAGAAAGAAUUUGGUAAAGAGAUGCUAAUCUUAUCUGAAGUCAACCAUAGAAACAUUGUGAAGCUCCUUGGGUGUUGCCUCGAAGUGGAAGUUCCCAUGCUAGUAUAUGAGUUCGUCCCAAAUGGCACCCUCUUCCAGCUCAUACACGGUAACCAUGGCCUACGUAUCUCCUUGGCUACUCGCUUGGGGAUCGCCCACGAGUCGGCCGAUGCGCUCUCCUAUCUUCACUCAUCGGCUUCGACACCGAUCCUCCAUGGUGAUGUCAAGUCCUCCAAUAUUCUUCUUGAUAGGGACAACAAAGCCAAAGUAGCUGACUUUGGUGCCUCCAUCCUGGCAUCAAUUGAUAAGUCACAAUUCAUCACACUUAUACAUGGUACUUGCGGGUACCUCGACCCGGAGUACAUGCAAACCAACCUGCUGACAGACAAGAGUGACGUAUACAGCUUUGGGGUUGUUCUUUUGGAGCUACUCACGGGCAAGUUACCUUUUAAUUUCAAUCCGGAUGUCCUUGUCCAUGAAAAGAGCCUAGCGAUGAUGUUUAUGUAUGCCAUGAAGGAGAAUAAGCUCGAGCAAAUCUUGGAUGUUGAGCUCAAGGACGGGGAUAACACAGAGAUUCUUGAAGAGAUUGCGGAGCUAGCGAUGCGUUGCUUAGAAAUGUGUGGUGACAAUAGGCCAUCGAUGAAGGAAGUUGCUGAAAAGCUUGAUAGUCUGAGGAAGGUGAUGCAACAUCCAUGGGUGCAGCGGAACCCUCAAGAGAUGGAAUGCCUACUUGCGGAGCCCUCAUCGGUGGUCAGCUCGACAAUAACCAGUGCUGAAUAUUUCAGCAUCGAGAAGGAAGCUGUUAAUAGUCUGUAG
rnacentral:rRNA from 1 species